UACGUAGGUGGCAAGCGUUGUCCGGUAUGAUUUGGCGUUAAGCUCGCGCAGGCGGUCUUUUAAGUCUGAUGUGAAAGGCCCCGGCUCAAACGGGGAGGGUCAUUGGAAACUGGGAGACUUGAGUACAGAAGAGGAGAGUGGAAUUCCACGUGUAGCGGUGAAAUGCGUAGAUAUGUGGAGGAACACCAGUGGCGAAGGCGACUCUCUGGUCUGUAACUGACGCUGAGGCGCGAAAGCGUGGGGAGCAAACAGG
rnacentral:misc_RNA from 1 species